ensembl:lncRNA
ACCACCUUUCCUCAUACGAGAGGUGCUCCAGCCCUCUGACCAUCUUAGUGGCCCUCCUCUGGACCCACUCCAAGAACUCCCCAUCUUGAGGAGAAGACAGAAUAAAGGUAAGGCAGACGCUGAGAAGGACAAGAGCAAAAGCAGAGAAGAACAGGCACAGGUAAGAAAGAAGAGCAGAAGAGGAGGAGAAGAAAAACAGAGGAUGAAGGUAAGAAAAACAAGCGGGCAGGGAGAAGAGCUGAAGAAGGGAUGAGUGGGUGCAGGUAAGACAGAACAGCAGAAGUGGAGAGGAGCUGAAGAGGAGAAGUAUGAAAAGUAGAGCAAAAGUACAGGAGGUGGAAAGAGAGGAAAGAGGCAAGAGAGAAGAGAGGAAGAGCAGAGAAAGAACAGAGUAGUAGAGAAGAGCGGACAGUGCUGUGAAAAGAAGAACAGUGCCAAAGAGCAGGUGAAGAAUAAAGGAAGAACAGGAGUGCAGAUGAAGAAGAGGUGUGAGCGCACAAGGAAGAAAAAUCAGAAGACAGGAGGAGUGCAGUAAGAAGAAGGAGGAGAGAAGAUACGGGAAAAAGAACAGCAGAAGGGUGCAGAUGCAGAAGAGAGAUGACACAGGGAACAACAAGGAGCAGAAGAGGAGAGCAGUCAGAAGAAAGACAAGUGAGAAUACAGGGAACAAAGCAAAGCAGAGAGGAGUGCAGAGGCAGAAGAGGAGAGAGGAUACAGAGAAGAAAGAACGGUGGAAGAGGUGUGCAGAUGCAGAAUAAAGAGCAUUGAGGAGACAGAAUAAGAAGAGCAACAGAGGAGUUUAGACGCAGAACGAUGAGGAGUGAAAAAGCAGGGAAAAAAAACGGGAGAAGAAGAGUGAGAAUGCAGAGAAAAAAGCAGGGAGAAUAUAGGGAAGAACCAAGAGCCUAAGAGAAGUGCAAGUGCAAAUGCAAAUGCAAGUGAGGGUACAGGGAAAAAGGAACAGCAGAAGGGGAGUGCAGGUGCAGAAAAAAGGGGAGAGCGGAUACAAGAAGAAACAAACAGCAGAAGAAGAUCACAGCUGCAGGUGAUGAAGCAGUGAGAAUACAGGGAAGGGAGAAGAUGAGGAGUGCCUAUGCAGAAAGAGGACUGAGGUUACGGGGAAGAAAGCAGAGCAGAAAGGCAGUGCAAAGGCAGAAGGAAGAGGAGCGAGGAGACAGGGAUGAUAGAAGAGCAGAUAAGAAGGGCAGAUGCAGAAGAAGAGGAGUGUGGAAAGAGGGAAGAGAGUAGAGCAGAAGAGAUUGAAGAAAAAAGGAAGUUAAGCUGAUGAAGAUAAAAGGAAGAAAGAACAGCAGAACAGAAGAGCAGAUGCACAAGAAAGGGCAGUGAGGAGACAGAAAAAAGAGAGUAUAGGAGGAGAGCAGAUGGAGGAGGAAGAGGAGUGAGGAAGCAGGGAGAAACGAACAGGAGAAGAGGGAGAAUGCAGAGGAAAGAGCAGGGAGGGUAUAGGGAAGAAGGAAGAGCCCUAGAGGAGUGCAGAUGCAGAAGUAAAAGUGGGGAUAGAGGGAAGAAAGAACAGCAGAUUAGAGCUGAUGCUGACGAAAAAAGGAAUGAGGAAGCAGGGGAAAAACCAGCAGAAGAGCAGUGAGGAAACAGGAAGAAGAACAGCAGAAGGGGAGAUGAAAUGCAGAAGAAAGAGGAGAGAGGACAGAGAGAAGAAGGAAGAGCAGAAGAGGAGUGCAGAUGCAGAUGAAGGCAGAGCGAGGGUACAGGAAAGACAGAAUGGCACAAUAGGAGCCAUUACUGGGAGAAUGAAUAGCCAGCUGAAGAGGAGCGAGGACAGAGGGAAGAAAGAGCCAGCAGAAGAGGAGCGGAUAAUGCUAAGGGAGAAGAACUCAAGAGUAGAUGAGCUGCCACAGCAGCAGCAAGAGAUAAAGCAGACAGAGAGGAGAAGAGGGAGGUGGAGAAUAGGAAAAGAAGAGUAAUGGGCAGGGGAGGACUGAGAGGAGGAAACAGCAGACCACAGAAGUGCAGGAGAAGGAAGAAGAGAAAUAAUGGUGCCGAGAAAAGGGAGAGAAGAGUAUAAAAAAUUAUAUAUAGUAGAGGAGAGGAAGACGGCAGAGGAGAAGUUAGAAAAGAUAGAAGAGAGAAGGGAGGGAAGGGGCAUCAACGUUUUCAAAGUUUUCAAACAUUGCAAAAGGUUUUUUUUACCUUUUCCAAAGGUAAAAAAAAAAAAAAAAAAAGAGAAAUGAUGAAGAUGGGAGUUCAACAGAAGAACUGAAGAUGUAAGAAGUGGGGAGGCGUGUGCAGAGAGCAGGAGAGCAGAGAGAGAAGGUGAGAGCAAAUUCCGUCACUGAGAGAAGAAGAAAAAGGAACGUCAAUAAUUUUUGUCUCUAUUAAAGCUGGGUUCUGUGCAGGACAUACAGG